UAUUUAGAAAGUUUCUUCAGUACGAAAGGACAAGAAAACAGGACCUCUUCUAACAAAAAGUCCUUCAAACCAUAGCUGACAAAAACUCAACCUAAUAUGACCAAAACACAUAGCCCGAGACAAGGGCUAA
rnacentral:rRNA from 1 species